GGUAAAGAGACGGAGCUCUAAUUCAGCGUUUGGCUCUUUAAAAAAAAAAAAUGGAAAUGAAAAUGAAGAGGAUGAGAGAGCAGAGGGACAAUCAGGCAGACAGAGACACAGUGAACACAGAGAAGAGAGAGGGACAAUCAGGCAAACAGAGACGCUGUGAACACAGAGAAGAGGGACGAUCAGGCGGACAGAGACAGAGCAGAGAGAGGGACAAUCAGGCAGACAGAGACACAGUUAACACAGAGCAGAGAGACAAUCAGGCGGACAGAGACGCAGUUAACACAGAGCAGAGAGAGGGACUUAGCCCUGCUCCAGCAGUCUGAUAAUAGACCCACCCAUCAACCCAUCACUCUUGUCCUCUAAACACUGGAGGAGAGCAAACAGUGGCACAUCUGAACACCGGGUUAUUUAUCCUUCACGCAAACACAACACAAACACACACACAC
ensembl:lncRNA